UUGACCUCGGAUCAGGUAGGGAUACCCGCUGAACUUAAGCAUAUCAAUAAGCGGAGGAAAAGAAACCAACAGGGAUUACCUCAGUAACGGCGAGUGAAGCGGUAACAGCUCAAAUUUGAAAUCUGGGUCUUUCAGGCUCCGAGUUGUAAUUUGUAGAAGAUGCUUCGGGUGCGGCUCCGGUCUAAGUUCCUUGGAACAGGACGUCACAGAGGGUGAGAAUCCCGUAUGUGAUCGGUUGCUUGCGCCCAUGUGAAGCUCUUUCGACGAGUCGAGUUGUUUGGGAAUGCAGCUCUAAAUGGGUGGUAAAUUUCAU
rnacentral:rRNA from 1 species